AAAAUUUAUAAACAAUAUAUCAAAAUUUGUGGAUGCAGCUAAGGCAGUAUUUAUUGGGAAUUUCAUAGCAUUAAAUACCAAUAUUAGAAAAGAAAGAUCUUAACUAAAUGACUUUAAGAAAUAGAAAAACAAGAGUAAGUGAAACUGAAAGUAAGUGGAAGGAAGUAAUAAAGUUCUGAGUGAAAAUCAGUGGAAGAGAAAACAGAAAAAGAGAAAUUGUUAAAAGCUAGUUAAGAACAUUCAUGAACUUCUAUCCAGACAGAUCAAGGAAAAAAAAAACAAGAUACAAAUGAUACAAUACCAAAAAUGAGAGCAGUGAUGUCAAAUUCUACCCAUAUUAAAAAUGUAACAAAGUAAUGUAUGAACAACUCAGUGGCCAUAAAUUCGACAUUUGAUAAAAUGGAGAAAUUCCUUAAAAGAGAUUACCAAAGCUCACUGAAGAACAGAGAUCUUGAAUAGCCAUGUAGAUACCUAUUAGAGAAAUUUAAUUUUUUCACAAAAAUCUUAUCACAAAGAAAAUUCCAAGCUUCACUGGGUAAUUCUACCAAACACUGAAGGAAAAAAUAUAACACCAUUUAUAUACAAACUUCUAGAAAACAGAUGAGCACUUCUCAUUUUACGAAGCCAGCACUACCAUGAUAUCAAAAUCAGAAAAAUAAAACUACAGAUCAAUAUCCCUUAUGAACAUAGACAUUAAAAUUCCUAACAUAAUAUCAAAUCUAACAGUAUGUAAAACUGAUAAAAUAUUAUGACCAAGGCAAGUUAAUCUUAGGAAUGCAAGGGUGGUUUAGCAUUAGGAAAUGUUGGGAAGUUACCAUAUCAAUAAGACGAAAAACAGGGGAAACUCAUGCAAAGAUUACUUUCACAUAAAAUCAUUUUCCAAUAGAAAUUCUAUUCCUAAAACUCUCACCAAAAUAGGAAUAGAAAAGAUCACCCUCAACUUGUUUAAGGCAUCCACAAGUAACCUACAGCUAACAUAACUGCUAAUGCUGAAACUCUUCCAUUAUAAUGGGUUUGUCAAUUUCUCUUUGCAGGAUUUAUCUUUUGGUAAUCAGCUUUAUUGAGGUGAAAUGUAAACUAAAAUCCACCCAUUUUAAGCAUACAUUUCAAGUACUUUAAAAAAAUACAGUCAUGUAGCCAUCACUACAACUUUGAUAUAGAUGUCCCCUCUGCCUCUAUGUAGAAAAUUCCCUUUCUUCACAAUCACCCACAGCCCUAAGCCCUGGACCACUAACAUUCUGUCACUAUAGAUAUGCCUUUUCUAGAGCUUCUUAUAAAUAGAACCCUAUAAUAUGUAUCCUUUUGUGUGCACUUUUUUUAAAAAAAGAUUUUAUUUGUUUAUUCAUGAGACACACACAGAGAGAGGCAGAGACACAGGAAGAGGGAGGAGAAGCAGGCUCCAUGCAGGGAGCCCGAUGCAGGACUCAAUCCCAGGACUCUGAGACCACACCCAGAGCCAACUCAGAUGCUCAACCACUGAGCCACCCAGGCAUCCCUUGUGUGCACUUUUUAAUGCUGAGCUGUAUUCCAUUUUAUGGAAUGAACUACAUUUGUUUAUCCAUUCACCAGUGGAGGUUUGAGUUGUUUCCAUAGAUGGGACUAUGAUGAAUAAAACUGUAUUAUUCAUGCAUGCCUUUAUAUGGACAUAUUUUUUUAUUUCUUUGGAGGAAAUGGCUAGAAGGAGUAUUGCUGAAUCAUGUAGUGAACUGUGUGUUUAAUUUGAAAAAACAAAAACAAAAACACCCAAACUUCCAAAAUGGUUAUUAACAGUUUUCAUUCUUCCAAUAAGGAGUCUCAUGACAUUCACUCUUUAGCAUGUUUUUCUUUCUCUACUGCAUCAUUUCUAUUCACAUAUAAACAUGCUUCCAUUUUCCAUCUUCAAAAAGUCUUUUGACCCCAGGCCUUCUCUAGCAACCACCCUCUUUCCCUGUUCAACAGUGCUCCUAGGAGGACUACUCUCCAGUCUUUCCUCUCAGCAUCAAUUAGCCCUGCUCCAAAUAAACCACUACUCCAUCAAAACUGUUUUUAUUAAAGGCACCGAAUCCAGAGACCAACUCUUGUCAUCUUUAAAACUGCAUUUUCACAGUUUAAAAUUAUUCAUCUCUCCAUAAGGACUGUGGACUCUCUGAGUGGCAGUGCUGUUAUUUCAUUUAUCAUAUCCUGAAUAUUAAAAAUUUCAUUAUAUGUGCAAUCCUGAAAACAAGUCUGUUUAAUGAAUAACCAAAGAAAUUUCUUUAACAUCUUAGAAUUGGAAAAUCAAACUAGAGCAUGACAUAAUUUGAUAAUCAUAAAUUUGGGUAGAAUUCUGUUAAGGUUAGACUAAUUUCUGAGUUUUACUUUACCUUCACAUAUUCCUUAGGUGCCUAUGCAUCAUAAGGAGGCAUAAAACAGAGAUGAUAUUUUGAAAACAGGUAUUG
rnacentral:lncRNA from 1 species